GAGUUUGAUCCUGGCUCAGGACGAACGCUGGCGGCGCGCCUAACACAUGCAAGUCGAACGGAGCUGAGAGGAGCUUGCUUUUUUCAGCUUAGUGGCGAACGGGUGAGUAACGCGUGAGUAACCUGCCUCAAAGAGGGGGACAACAGUUGGAAACGACUGCUAAUACCGCAUAAGCCCACGGGUCGGCAUCGACCAGAGGGAAAAGGAGCAAUCCGCUUUGAGAUGGCCUCGCGUCCGAUUAGCUAGUUGGUGAGGUAACGGCCCACCAAGGCAACGAUCGGUAGCCGGACUGAGAGGUUGAACGGCCACAUUGGGACUGAGGCACGGCCCAGACUCCUACGGGAGGCAGCAGUGGGGAAUAUUGCACAAUGGGGGAAACCCUGAUGCAGCGACGCCGCGUGAAGGAAGAAGUAUCUCGGUAUGUAAACUUCUAUCAGCAGGGAAGAAAAUGACGGUACCUGACUAAGAAGCCCCGGCUAACUACGUGCCAGCCGCCGCGGUAAUUC
rnacentral:rRNA from 1 species